GAUAAUUUGUAUGCUUUAGACGAGCAGCUGAAUGCAUCUUCUCCAGAGAGAAAAAUAAGUUUGAUCAGUCCAGCAGCUUUAAUUAGGUAAAACUGAGAAAUAACUUUAAUUUUGUAGAUUAAGUGAUGUCAGACCAUGCAAGACAUUAGUAACUGCAAAACUGGCAGUGAGACUUAAUAAAAAUGAGAAAAACAGUACCUGUGUUUGGAAAAAAACCCAAAAACUACAGCUCAAAAGGCCGUAUAAAAACCAAAAGGAAAGAGUGGUGUGCUCUUAUUUCCCUGCUUCGGUGCUUUAGUUUUACAAUAGCUUUCCUCUCAUUUCCUAAUUAAGCAAUUUUGAAGUUGUAAGAAAGAACAGCUGCCCUGUUAGCCCAGCUCCUCCUCCUGGUGCUGUUGCAGGUGUCCCGCUGUUGUUGCAGGAUUUUGGAUGCUAUUGGUUGUAUUGAAAUAUUGUUGGCAGCAGGGAUGAGGAUUAAAUAGCGUAGGAAAUACAAAAGAAGCAGAUCUGUAAUGAUGUCUGCUAAUCCCUCAACUAUCUCUCUGUGAUGUACGUUGCUUUAAGGAGCGAUGAAGGAUGGAUUAUGUGCCAGUUUUAACCUUUCCUUGAAAACCUCCAGGGACAGUGACUCCACCACCUCCCUGGCAGCCCGUGCCUCUUCCUAGCCAUUCUUUCUGAGACGAAAUUUUUCCAGAUAUAAAAUGGUGGGAGAGUUGUAGAAAACUGUACUUUGGUGCCUACCUUAUGGAACUUCAUAGUAACAGAGGAGCUUCAUCUCCAUACCUCAACGUCCUACGUUGGCAUGAGGUACCCGGUACCACUGGCUGAAGCUCUCUGGGCUGCCAUUCUGUGGCACAUUCACCAAAAAGGAAAAGAAAGGUGAUGUAAUGUUUUCAUCUCUGAAAACCUGGUUUCGAGAAAAGAUUUGUCUCCAAAAUGGAAAUCUGCUUUUGAUUCAACAUUAGGUCUCCAAGUUCUGUUCUGUACUAUCUGCAGCAGCGAUCAGCC
ensembl:lncRNA